UGAAGUAGUCCGCUGUCUAUACUAAUUGUGUGUUCGCAUCGUACAUAUCGUCCCAUUGUGUCAUCGACACCGAAUGUCAUACAAGCGAAUGUCAUGUAGGCAGUGCCAAAUGUCAUGUAAGCCAAUCCGAAUGUCAUGAAAGUAGUGCCAAAGCCCAAAUGUCAUGCAAGCCAAUCCAAUUGUCUUAUAAGCAUGCCAUGCAAGCAAGCCAUGUGUCGAAUGGCACGCAGACACUGCUAGUUAAAUUUUGGUAUUUUUGACGGUGAUCACACUUUAUAGUAGCAGCUGUAGAGCUCAGUCAGGUGUAUUUCAAUUCAUUUUUUUCUAUUUAAUGUUCAUGAUAUCGG